rnacentral:rRNA from 1 species
GACGAACGCUGGCGGCGUGCUUAACACAUGCAAGUCGAACGGAAAGGCCCUUCGGGGUACUCGAGUGGCGAACGGGUGAGUAACACGUGGGUGAUCUGCCCUGCACUUUGGGAUAAGCCUGGGAAACUGGGUCUAAUACCGAAUAUGAUCAUCAGCUUCAUGGUUGGUGGUGGAAAGCUUUUGCGGUGUGGGAUGGGCCCGCGGCCUAUCAGCUUGUUGGUGGGGUAAUGGCCUACCAAGGCGACGACGGGUAGCCGGCCUGAGAGGGUGACCGGCCACACUGGGACUGAGAUACGGCCCAGACUCCUACAGGAGGCAGCAGGGGGGAAUAUUGCACAAUGGGCGCAAGCCUGAUGCAGCGACGCCGCGUGAGGGAUGACGGCCUUCGGGUUGUAAACCUCUUUCAGCACAGACGAAGCGCAAGUGACGGUAUGUGCAGAAGAAGGACCGGCCAACUACGUGCCAGCAGCCGCCGUAAAAC